AGCAGCCGCGGUAAUUCCAGCUCCAAUAGCGUAUAUUAAAGUUGUUGCAGUUAAAAAGCUCGUAGUUGAAUUUCGGGAUCAGUACGCUGGUCGUGCCUUCGGUAUGCACUGGUUCCACUGAUUCCUCCCUUCUGAAGAACCGUAAUGCCAUUCAGUUGGUGUGGCGGGGAAUCAGGAUUGUUACUUUGAAAAAUUAGAGUGUUUAAAGCAGGCUCGCGCUUGAAUACAUUAGCAUGGAAUAAUGAAAUAGGACGUUUGAUCCUAUUUUGUUGGUUUCUAGGAUUGACGUAAUGAUUAAUAGGGAUAGUUGGGGGCAUUAGUAUUCAAUUGUCAGAGGUGAAAUUCUUGGAUUUAUUGAAGACUAACUACUGCGAAAGCAUUUGCCAAGGAUGUUUUCAUUAAUCAAGAACGAAAGUUAGGGGAUCGAAGACGAUCAGAUACCGUCGUAGU
rnacentral:rRNA from 1 species